rnacentral:rRNA from 1 species
CAGUCGCCGCGGGAAUACGUAGGUGGCAAGCGUUGUCCGGAAUUAUUGGGCGUAAAGCGCGCGCAGGCGGCCUAUCCAGUCUGUCUUAAAAGUUCGGGGCUCAACCCCGUGAUGGGAUGGAAACUAGUAGGCUAGAGUAUCGGAGAGGAAAGCGGAAUUCCUAGUGUAGUGGUGAAAUGCGUAGAUAUUAGGAAGAACACCAGUGGCGAAGGCGGCUUUCUGGACGAAAACUGACGCUGAGGCGCGAAAGCUAGGGGAGCGAACGGGAUUAGAUACCCCCGUAGUCCCUGUCUCUUAUACC